UGCCAGCAGCCGCGGUAAUACGGAGGGUCCAAGCGUUAUCCGGAAUCAUUGGGUUUAAAGGGUCCGUAGGCGGGCAAUUAAGUCAGAGGUGAAAUCCCACAGCUCAACUGUGGAACUGCCUUUGAUACUGGUUGUCUUGAGUCAUUAUGAAGUAGUUAGAAUAUGUAGUGUAGCGGUGAAAUGCAUAGAUAUUACAUAGAAUACCAAUUGCGAAGGCAGAUUACUAAUAAUGUACUAACACUGAUGGACGAAAGCGUGGGGAGCGAACAGGAUUAGAUA
rnacentral:rRNA from 1 species